rnacentral:rRNA from 1 species
GACGAACGCUGGCGGCGUGCCUAAUACAUGCAAGUCGAACGAACUCUGGUAUUGAUUGGUGCUUGCAUCAUGAUUUACAUUUGAGUGAGUGGCGAACUGGUGAGUAACACGUGGGAAACCUGCCCAGAAGCGGGGGAUAACACCUGGAAACAGAUGCUAAUACCGCAUAACAACUUGGACCGCAUGGUCCGAGCUUGAAAGAUGGCUUCGGCUAUCACUUUUGGAUGGUCCCGCGGCGUAUUAGCUAGAUGGUGGGGUAAUGGCUCACCAUGGCAAUGAUACGUAGCCGACCUGAGAGGGUAAUCGGCCACAUUGGGACUGAGACACGGCCCAAACUCCUACGGGAGGCAGCAGUAGGGAAUCUUCCACAAUGGACGAAAGUCUGAUGGAGCAACGCCGCGUGAGUGAAGAAGGGUUUCGGCUCGUAAAACUCUGUUGUUAAAGAAGAACAUAUCUGAGAGUAACUGUUCAGGUAUUGACGGUAUUUAACCAGAAAGCCACGGCUAACUACGUGCCAGCAGCCGCGGUAAUACGUAGGUGGCAAGCGUUGUCCGGAUUUAUUGGGCGUAAAGCGAGCGCAGGCGGUUUUUUAAGUCUGAUGUGAAAGCCUUCGGCUCAACCGAAGAAGUGCAUCGGAAACUGGGGGAACUUGAGUGCAGAAGAGGACAGUGGAACUCCAUGUGUAGCGGUGAAAUGCGUAGAUAUAUGGAAGAACACCAGUGGCGAAGGCGGCUGUCUGGUCUGUAACUGACGCUGAGGCUCGAAAGUAUGGGUAUCAAACAGGAUUAGAUACCCUGGUAGUCCAUACCGUAAACGAUGAAUGCUAAGUGUUGGAGGGUUUCCGCCCUUCAGUGCUGCAGCUAACGCAUUAAGCAUUCCGCCUGGGGAGUACGGCCGCAAGGCUGAAACUCAAAGGAAUUGACGGGGGCCCGCACAAGCGGUGGAGCAUGUGGUUUAAUUCGAAGCUACGCGAAGAACCUUACCAGGUCUUGACAUACUAUGCAAAUCUAAGAGAUUAGACGUUCCCUUCGGGGACAUGGAUACAGGUGGUGCAUGGUUGUCGUCAGCUCGUGUCGUGAGAUGUUGGGUUAAGUCCCGCAACGAGCGCAACCCUUAUUAUCAGUUGCCAGCAUUAAGUUGGGCACUCUGGUGAGACUGCCGGUGACAAACCGGAGGAAGGUGGGGAUGACGUCAAAUCAUCAUGCCCCUUAUGACCUGGGCUACACACGUGCUACAAUGGAUGGUACAACGAGUUGCGAACUCGCGAGAGUAAGCUAAUCUCUUAAAGCCAUUCUCAGUUCGGAUUGUAGGCUGCAACUCGCCUACAUGAAGUCGGAAUCGCUAGUAAUCGCGGAUCAGCAUGCCGCGGUGAAUACGUUCCCGGGCCUUGUACACACCGCCCGUCACACCAUGAGAGUUUGUAACACCCAAAGUCGGUGGGGUAACCUUUUAGGAACCAGCCGCCUAAGGUGGGACAGAUGAUUAGGGUG